GUUGGUUUGCUACACUACCUGUCCUGCUGUAGAGAGUGGUCUGUAUUGAGGGAGGGAGUUGGGGACAGGUUAACGUUGGUUUGCUACACUACCUGUCCUGCUGUAGAGAGUGAUCUGUAUUGAGGGAGGGAUUGGGGACAGGUUAACGUUGGUUUGCUACACUACCUGUCCUGCUGUAGAGAGUGAUCUGUAUUGAGGGAGGGAUUGGGAACAGGUUAACGUUGGUUGCUGCACUACUUGUUCUGCUGUAGAGAGUGGUCUGUAUUGAGGGAGGGAGCGGGAACAGGUUAACGUUGGUUGCUGCACUACUUGUAGUGCUGUAGAGAGUGAUCUGUAUUGAGGGGGGAGUGUGGACAGGUUCACGUUGGUUUGCUACACUACUUGUACUGCUGUAGAGAGUGGUCUGUAUUGAGGGGGUAGUGUGGACAGGUUCACGUUGGCUUGCUACACUACCUGUCCUGCUGUAGAGGGUGAUCUGUAUUGAGGGAGAAAGUGGGGGCAGGUUCACGUUGGCUUGCUGCACUACCUGCACUGCUAAUGACUGAUAACUAAAACGAUCUUAGCGAUACGUGCAAUUGUUACUCCCAUACUUUAACAUAGACUUACCACAAUCGUAGCUCUAAGAUCACUCCGUGCCUUGCUUCUCGGUACGAGACAAUUUAGUGAAUACUAACAUUUGAUAACCAUGUAUAUUUGUUUGACCUGACAUAAUGUAUAUAUAAAAUAUCUGAACUAACUUUUAAUACGUCUCUAACACAAAUUCAUGAUGCCCAAACGACCUAGCCUUCCGGGAAUAUUUAAUAAUCAUUCCCCGAGGUAUUCUGACCUACACAUCGUAUCUAAAAUUACAUGUCACGCACAGGUAUGUUCUAAUGGGUGAAAUCCCCUUCAUGUGAUAACAGUUUUCACAGAGCUGAAUGUACUAAUCUUUAAAUAUUCACUGUUUUCUUUACUAAAAUAACCCUUCUCCCAGAUGGAUCUGAAGAGGCCUCACUUAACUACACCAACCCUUACAGUGUGAAUACAAGUACAGAUCCUCGAGACGAUGAUGGUGAAUACGUGAACCUGUAGGGCAAUGGUGCAUGUAUCUGGGUAGGUCGACGGGUCCAGAUCUAUUCUAGCUGGUUGCACCGAAUUCCUGCUACUAUCUGAUUGGAAGCCAAGAAUAUCUCCAAGUAGCCUAAGCCCAAACGGUGCUGGCGGUUUAUUACCCCGGAAGCAGCAUGAGCAGACGAUGCCCCUGCCAGUAAACUUUGAAGUCCCCUGAUGUGCCGCCUUUUUAGCUUUAAUACUUCAAAAGCUUCCUGUUUCAUGUUCAUCAAUGCGAUCUUCGCAUCAAAUCCUUCUUGAAUUAACACAUGGGCCACUUCGGCUGGUAAACCUGCCUCUUCUAUGAACACAUCGAAAGCACGCGGUUUCUGGGCUGCUCUCGCGGCAGCAGCCGCACUAUCAAAGUCGAGUACACUCAUCCUAACAUUCAUGAGUGAGUGAGUAUGGCUUUACGCCGCUUUUAGCAAUAUUCCAGCAAUAUCACGGCGGGGGACACCAGAAAUGGGCUUCACACAUUGUACCCAUGUCGGGAAUCGAACCCGGGUCUUCGGCGUGACGAGCGAACGCUCCUAACAUUCAUGUAUCAGCCUGUAUGAAGAUCUUACUCACACGCAGCGCCCCUCAGCGAUUUAUGUAUAGACUUGUUCAUUCGUUACCAUGAUUAAAUUUUCCCGUACCUCUCGUU